AAAUCUCCAAACUUUGACACAAAAUUAGAAUCUUUAAGAUCAAAUCCCUCAUCAAAAGAAAAUGAAGCAGAAGACAAAAGCACUUGUGAUUGGAUUAAUUGGUGCAGCUUUUACUUUACUUGCUUACUCACAAACCUUCGUAUCACCAACUCAAAGCAUCACAAUUGGACUCCUUAUUCUCAUGUUGGGAUUCCUAGUAGGAGAAGGUUUCAUAUCUCUUUGAUUCAUCAUGCUUUUCUUUUUCUCCUUCAAUUUCCACCUUCAUCUAUAUCCAUGAAUUUUACAUGUUUGUGUGUAAUAACUCUUUAA